ensembl:lncRNA
GCGGGCCACAGUCCAUACGGUUGCAAAGAGUCAGACACGACUGAAGAGACUGAGGACGCCCGCUCAUGGAUAUGGAACUAGAUGCCUAACAUGCAUUAUCUCAAUGCUUUCAGCUAUUCUAGAAAAACAUUAUUAUCUUUUUACUUUACCAGGGAGGAAAUGGUCAUUUCAUGUGCACUUUGAGUCUCCAGGGUGGCAGACAGAGAAUGCAGUGUUUCCAAAACACAGAGCCUGGAGAAGGGCAGCUUAGGACCACUCAGUGGUUGUUCCUACCGGUUCAGUCAGCUGUGCAGUGGGAGCUGCAGACCAGUCCACAGUGGUGGCUGAGGUCUCCCGUCUUCUGCAGGACCCGCUGGGCAGGCACAGUGGUGCCUGCGUCUUCAGGCCUGUCUGCAACCUCAGGUGAAGUAGCCAUGAACUUGGGAGCUGGGGUGGUCCAUUCACCCUGACAUUCCUCCUUGUGGCCUCCUCAGCACAUCCUGCUCAUUCUUUUCCAUCUCUCCAGCCCCUUGGUAGAAGCAGACGUGAGGCAUGACCUUCAACAGGUGUGUCCCCAGGAUGGUGCCACGUGCAUGCAGAACUUACUGGGCAGCAUCCAUCUCCUCAGACCCACUGAGUGAGCUUCCUUCUUGCUGCAAGAAUGUCAGUGUCCACAAGGCACAGAGGAGAAUCUGUGUACAGGGCACGGUGGUCGGUGGGUAUACACACAGCACCUCCAUGAGAGGCUGGUUGUCAGCCCUGGGAUCAGUGACCACCAGAAGAAGCAGCCCCUGGAAGCUGCCAGGGUUUGGUGAGUGAAGGUUCUGGGAGUGAAGCGGGCAGCGGGAGGGGUGGCUGCAGUGGUUGCGGCACACUCCAGCACAGCCCCCUGGCCUGUGUUCCUGAAGGAUGUGACACUGAUCAGCUGGUUUUUAAACAAGAUGGCACAAGCCAUCUGCAGAAGCUUCUCCCAGGCCCCCUUCAGAUCUAUAAUGUAGACGUCAUCCCUUUUCCUUUAGCAGAUGCACUGUUCCAUUUGGAAGUCACGGCUGGUGCCACCUAAAUGGGUUCCUGCUGCUUGGAAUUUGAGGACAUCCUCC